UACGUAGGGCGCAAGCGUUGUCCGGAGUUAUUGGGCGUAAAGCGCGCGCAGGCGGCCUCGCGCGCCCGACGUGAAAGCCCCCGGCUUAACCGGGGAGGGUCGUUGGGGACGGCGGGGCUUGAGGGCGGGAGAGGUCGGUGGAAUUCCCGGUGUAGUGGUGAAAUGCGUAGAGAUCGGGAGGAACACCUGUGGCGAAGGCGGCCGACUGGGCCGACCCUGACGCUGAGGCGCGAAGGCGUGGGGAGCGAACGGG
rnacentral:rRNA from 1 species